GAGGCGGGCGAAGAAAACAUCUCCAAUUAUAUGCCGUCGAUGACAUCCUGACCCUUCUUCCCCACGUGACGGUGGUGGGAAACAAUUUCAAGUAAGAACAGUGUGGAUCUAUUGGGAAGUAUCAAUGGUGAGGAGUUGGCUGCUGUAGGAGGAAAUCAGCUGUGCGUGUAUUAUUACCUGCUGUGGAGUUCUUCAAAGGUUCGCCCCUGUCUAGAUCUCUUGACUUGUCGGUUGGUAGAAAGAAGAGGGAAGCGUUCGACCCAUCCAGUGUAGUACACCCCGGGUGAGACAACUUACCUGUGUGUGACGCCAGCGGAGGCCGUGUUCGGCCCAACGCAACAGUUUUCGAUCCGCCUCUCUAUCAGCAGUUGGUAGAAGCCUCAGAAAAGGAACGUCUGACGUCUAUUCCUUCGAAGAUCUAGCGGGUCCCUUUGAAGCGUCUACCUGCAUGUCGACUCGUCACUCAGGAUACAGAGACCGUGGAAACCCCCUCCCGUACACUUACCAGUACGGUUUUAGUUGGAUCCCGGCAGCCCUUGGGCAGUUCCCCCAGCAUCUGGACGACCGGGAGUAUAAUCCGCUGGGUCGCCUCGGAGUUCGUCAAAAGUAGCAGCAGAUCUAGCGGGUCCCUUUGAAGCGUCUACCUGCAUGUCGACUCGUCACUCAGGAUACAGAGACCGUGGAAACCCCCUCCCGUACACUUACCAGUACGGUUUUAGUUGGAUCCCGGCAGCCCUUGGGCAGUUCCCCCAGCAUCUGGACGACCGGGAGUAUAAUCCGCUGGGUCGCCUCGGAGUUCGUCAAAAGUAGCAGCAGGUAUCCAUUGUGCAUCCAAACUCUCAAUACUUACCACUUGUAUCUGUUACGUCCAGGAAAGGAGAGGGCCCUGGACAGUCGUCCUGCAAGCCAGAACAAAGGGGCACUUGCGAAUAAGCUGAUUGUCGUCACAUAGCCAGAAGGAAAGAGGAGUGAAGGACUCACCUGAGAUCUCCCGUGACGGAGUCUAAGAGACUCGAGACUGUUACUCUCCAAAAGGAGGGUUGGAUUUUAGCCUCCCUUCCCCAUACCCUUUUUUUAGUAAUUUAAUAAAGUCUGUUUUAAUAUUUACUUACCGGC
ensembl:lncRNA